rnacentral:rRNA from 1 species
AAUAGAUACCCGGGUAGUCCACGCCGUAAACGAUGAGUGCUAAGUGUUGGGGGGUUUCCGCCCCUCAGUGCUGCAGCUAACGCAUUAAGCACUCCGCCUGGGGAGUACGGUCGCAAGACUGAAACUCAAAGGAAUUGACGGGGGCCCGCACAAGCGGUGGAGCAUGUGGUUUAAUUCGAAGCAACGCGAAGAACCUUACCAGGUCUUGACAUCCCGGUGACCACUAUGGAGACAUAGUUUCCCCUUCGGGGGCAACGGUGACAGGUGGUGCAUGGUUGUCGUCAGCUCGUGUCGUGAGAUGUUGGGUUAAGUCCCGCAACGAGCGCAACCCUUAUUCUUAGUUGCCAUCAUUCAGUUGGGCAUUCUAAGGAGACUGCCGGUGAUAAACCGGAGGAAGGUGGGGAUGACGUCAAAUCAUCAUGCCCCUUAUGACCUGGGCUACACACGUGCUACAAUGGACAGUACAAACGGUUGCCAACCCGCGAGGGGGAGCUAAUCCGAUAAAAACCCGUUCUCAGUUCGGAUUGUAGGCUGCAACUCGCCUAC